CUAGAUUCUUCUUCAGAAACAUAACUCUUAGGCUCAAUCUCUAUUCCUGGUCUUCCACAGCUAUCGUCUUCUUUUUAAAGUACUGUAUUUUAUUGAAUCUAAGCUAGUAUUUGUUGUAGGAAGCACUAUUAUUAUAAGUACAACUAAGGAAGAAAAAAUGCUGCCAAUUAAACUGUGACAUAAUGCCAUGAUUACAGUCCUGUGAAAUUGCUGAGUGCCAUGAGAGGACAGUGACAACCUCGGAGGCCUCAUGGUGAAGGUGGCAGAACCUUUGUUAGCCUGGGUGCUCAGGGUGGACAGCUGCUCUUGCCAACUGGGAACAUCUGCCUCGAGCGCUUUUGUAAGUGACAGAUAAGCUUUUAUUGUACUUCUGCCAGGAUACAAACAUUAGAUGUAUUUGUACAGCAGCUAAAGGUACUCUAAUAACACAUAUUCUGAAAUCACCAUGUACCCUAAAAUAUUUUAACAAAAUUCUUGCAAUAUUUGUAUGAGAACUGCUGGAUUUUGCUUUCUUAACCAAUUUGCUGUUGCUACUGGAAAAAGAGAAUGAAAUGAUCUCAAAUGAGGUAAUAAAAUCAUUACUGAAUUUUAA